rnacentral:misc_RNA from 1 species
AAGUCGUAACAAGGUUUCCGUAGGUGAACCUGCGGAAGGAUCAUUAACACGUAUCCAACGUUAAAACAACCCCGUGAACUUUCAGCUUGCUCCUGUAGCCCGUGAAAGCAGCAAUCCCUGGUAAAUCAUUGUUGACCAGCUUUUGAGUCAGGGACCUCUGCAGAUUGUGAUAUUUUAUAGCUACGGUUGAGCGAUUGCAUCUAGUGACCUGGCAUCCCCAAGUAAUCAGUGUUCUGAAAGUGUCAUUGAUUGCCGGCGACCGGGUCACCGGGCUCUGCUCCUUUACGACAACUACAGUCUAACUUCGCCGCGCGUGAAAUUCGCACGGCACCAAAAACCGAACAACUGUUAACAAUGGAUAUCUUGGUUCUC